GCGUCAGAUAGCCAUGCAUGUCUAAGUAUAAGCACUUGUACUGUGAAACUGCGAAUGGCUCAUUAAAUCAGUUAUCGUUUAUUUGAUUGUACUUUACUACAUGGAUACCUGUGGUAAUUCUAGAGCUAAUACAUGCGAAAAAUCCCGACUUCACGGAAGGGAUGUAUUUAUUAGACUAAAAACCAAUGCGGGUCUCGGCCCGUUUUCUUGGUGAUUCAUGAUAACUUUUCGAAUCGCAUGGCCUUGCGCCGGCGAUGUUUCAUUCAAAUUUCUGCCCUAUCAACUGUCGAUGGUAAGGUAGUGGCUUACCAUGGUUGUAACGGGUGACGGAGAAUUAGGGUUCGAUUCCGGAGAGGGAGCCUGAGAAACGGCUACCACAUCUAAGGAAGGCAGCAGGCACGAAAAUUACCCAAUCCCGAUUCGGGGAGGUAGUGACAAGAAAUAACGGUACGGGGUCUUUAUAGGUCUCGCAAUCGGAAUGAGAACAAUUUAAAUCCUUUAACGAGGAUCAAUUGGAGGGCAAGUCUGGUGCCAGCAGCCGCGGUAAUUCCAGCUCCAAUAGCGUAUAUUAAAGUUGUUGCAGUUAAAAAGCUCGUAGUUGGAUUUCGGAGCGGGCCCGUCGGUCCACCGCAAGGUGAGCUACUGGCGGGUCUGUUCUUCUUCGCAAAGACUGCAGGUGCACUUCACUGUGUGUCUGUCGGAUUUGCGACGUUUACUUUGAAAAAAUUAGAGUGUUCAAAGCAGGCUUUCGCUUGAAUACAUGAGCAUGGAAUAAUGGAAUAGGACUUUGGUUCUAUUUUGUUGGUUUCUAGGACCGAAGUAAUGAUUAAGAGGGACAAUUGGGGGCAUCCGUAUUUCGUUGUCAGAGGUGAAAUUCUUGGAUUUACGAAAGACGAACAACUGCGAAAGCACUUGCCAAGAGUGUUUUCAUUAAUCAAGAACGAAAGUUAGAGGAUCGAAGACGAUCAGAUACCGUCCUAGUUCUAACCAUAAACGAUGUCGACUAGGGAUCAGCGGGCGUUAUUGUACGACCCCGUUGGCACCUUACGGGAAACCAAAGUUUUUGGAUUCCGGGGGAAGUAUGGUUGCAAAGCUGAAACUUAAAGGAAUGACGAAGCAGCACCUGACGUGAUGCCAACGUG
rnacentral:rRNA from 1 species